rnacentral:rRNA from 1 species
UACAGAGGUGGCAAGCGUUGUUCGGAAUUACUGGGCGUAAAGGGCGCGUAGGCGGUCUUGCAAGUCCCGUGUGAAAUCCCUCGGCUCAACUGAGGAACUGCACGGGAAACUGCUUGGCUUGAGUUCGGGAGAGGGAAGCGGAAUUCCGGGUGUAGCGGUGAAAUGCGUAGAUAUCCGGAGGAACACCGGUGGCGAAGGCGGCUUCCUGGACCGACACUGACACUGAAGCACGAAAGCGUGGGGAGCAAACAGG